rnacentral:lncRNA from 1 species
UGUUUUGGCCGCUUUUAUUUUUAUCGGGACUGGCCGUCGGUGGCUUUGAACCCCUACCGCUAUGCGGUUUAUAAUGGAUGUUUGUUUGAGUUACUUUGUUUCGAGUGGGUUUGAAGUAAACAUGAGUUGUGUUCUCAUAUUUAACUUCGUUGAGGCGUUCAAUCUGUUGGUUUGUUCGAGCCGUGAGUUUUGUAAAACUUAUUUAUUCUUACGAACUUUCGGGAAUAUUGAGAUAUGAACGGAGAGACAUGUUUUAGGAUCUCGUAUUGUUUAGAUAUCAUGUCUUUGAGAUGUCUGAGACCAAUGCGAUGGGUUUAGGGCAAGACCUAGGUUUACUCUCGUUUUAAGGUUUGUGCGGUGACUAGCCAGCUAUCGAUUUUCCUGCUGUGAUUUCUACCUGAUUCGUACCGAUUUAAAGUCCGCGAUAGGUUCUCGGCUUAUAUGACUUGUAUGGUACGAAUCGAGCAUAUUUCCAGAGACAAUUUUUAAGACAACUGGAAGUGCUAGACCAAAAUUUUGGAUUUUUUUUGUAGCGCGCUUUCGUCCUUGUGUUGGACGCUCGAAAAUCAAAAGAGUGAUCAAGUUGCGUUUGUUUAAGACGGCUGAUGUG